rnacentral:rRNA from 1 species
UACGUAGGGUGCGAGCGUUGUCCGGAAUUAUUGGGCGUAAAGAGCUCGUAGGCGGUUUUGUUGCGUCGGCUGUGAAAUCCCGAGGCUCAACCUCGGGUCUGCAGUCGAUACGAGCAAAACUAGAGUGUUGCAGGGGAGACUGGAAUUCCUGGUGUAGCGGUGAAAUGCGCAGAUAUCAGGAGGAACACCGGUGGCGAAGGCGGUUCUCUGGGCAUUACCUGACGCUGAGGAGCGAAAGUGUGGGGAGCGAACAGG